rnacentral:lncRNA from 1 species
AUAAUAUAUAAUUAAAGUAUAUAAUAUAUAUUAUAUAAUAUUUAUAAUAUAUAUUAUAUAAUACUAUAUAACAUAUAUAGAACAUAUAUUAUAUAAUAAUAUAUAACAUAUAUUAUUAUAUAUCUCAUCAGCAGCAUCACCCGCCUGGGUACUCUUCAGAGUGUUUUGCUCAUAGAAUGAUUUCACAGGGUAAGCUGGGAGCCUCCUGCUCCGCUGCAGUGUGAGGUCCAUGGACCUAUGGAAGGUUCUCCCGAGGAACGCGCUCGGGAGCCCCGGGUUCAGCCCGUCCGUUGCCUCUCGCGGGCAGCGAAGCGCAAGUGCGGCGCUUGCUGGUGGGAGCGCGGCGCUGCGCGGAGCCGGCGCGGCCCCGCAGCCGGGGCAGCGGCUCGAGUCGGGGCAGCCGCUUGCGGCUGGUCUGGGCGCUCCCAAAGCAGCUUUUGGGCUCUGCUGCCUCCAGCUUCUCACGUGCGGUGCCUGGAUCCCGGGAGCAUCUCUCCCGGUGGCUGCUGACCCGCUGCAGGGACACCUUCCGCUAGAGCAGGCAAAACACACUCAGGACAACAGCCAGACGUGGGGGGUGAACGGGGAGACCGGAGCCCUGGUGGACAUGAAGGAGCUGGGGGUCUGGGAGCCGCUGGCGGUCAAGCUGCAGACCUACAAGACAGCGGUGGAGACGGCCGUUCUCCUGCUCCGCAUCGAUGACAUCGUGUCGGGGCACAAAAAGAAGGGCGAGGAGAAGAGCCAGGGCCCGGCGGCGCCAGAGCCAGCGCAGGAAUGAGCUCCGGGAAUGAGGGAUCCAGUCGCCGAUGGGAAGAACCAGCCGGCACCCGGCUCCCUGGAGCUGCUGGGGCUGAAGCCUUGGGGUGGGAUGGGGCAGAGCAACGCGAAGGUGGGGCGGGGGCUCAGUGCCCUGCUCGGGGGGCAGGCACUGGGCACGGGAGGCUCUGGAAUGUCACGGUUUGCCUGGGAAAUAAACCCAAUCACAUCA